CAGAGGCUAAAAUAGUCAAAAACAUUUCUAGUAAAUUAUUCCCAUACUUCUUUUAAUUUAAAAAAAGAAAACUUCUAAUCAGGGGAGGGGCCUCUAUAAAAUAGUCACAAACCUUAUCAAAUUAAUCUAAAAUAAAGCUUUUAAGGGGAAAAAUAGCAUUUGUGAAGGGGAACAAUGGUAGAAAUAAUUUCCACUGAGUCAGUGCUCUAUCGGCUAUACAAUAGUCAUUAAUUGUCUGUUGGCAAAUGCUUCCACUGUAUAAUGUUCACAAAUAACAUUUCUUAUCCUAUAAACUACCCAAACAAAACGCCAUUUUUUUUGGUGACAGGUCAGCACAACACUGGUGUCCAAUGCCAGCUCUUACUAGCUUUCAGGAUAACAAACUUGGAGAAAAAAAGACAUGGGGGGAAACUUUGGUUCACUUAAGGGUAUUUCAGUGUAAGAAAUAAAGGUGAGGCGGGAGAAAUCAAUCAAAUACGUGAGUCUCAUGUAUGAGAGUUGGCAGCCUUGAAUUUGAGUUGUUGUAAAGACAACAUUAUUGAUUUUUAAACUAAUCUCAAAAAGGAAUGCAUUUUAUCAUAAAAUUGCCAAUAAUAUGAGGAGAAUUGUCUUUGAUUUUCUUUAAUCACCUUUUAUUUGAAGCUUUGAUACCCCACAAGCCACCCUUUGGUCUGUAAAACACUCGCGGGCGUGGGCUUCAAUGGAGUCCACUGACCUUUUAGUGACUUGGUGUUGCAUUUAUAUAAAGUCAGGAUGUGUUUUAGCAAGCUGUGACUGGCUGCCUCUUCAGGGUUGUGAAGAUCCACAUAAACAUUGUCUACAAGUCUUUAAAACAGGUCAUUAGUAGUUUCCAUUAACACCCAAGGUGCUAGAAAGAAAGGGAAAUCAAUAGUUGAAGUCUUUGCCUUACGAGGAGCACAAGUUGUCUUCGAUUCAUUUCAGAGGAUUUGCGUGUUUGUUAUCCUGGACUCACCUGUUGUAGUAUUCAGAUCUGCUGAUGCAGCACUUUGUUCGUCCGCCAAGGCACCAAAUAAAAGCUCCAUGACUUCAGAGAAAUUAGAUUAUAUAAGAGUGUAACUUAGUUUGUGUUCUUUGAUCUGGAAGUCAAUUGUUGAGGCUUCAGUUGGACCAUGAGAAAUGUCUGUUUGUGUUUGUGUAGACAGCUUAGGCUGAGUGUGAUUUGUUGAGAAAGGUGAGUCUGUAAGUGAUGACACAAAAAUGAAGGGAAGAGCUGACUACAGAUGCCUGCUGGGAAUUAAGGAGCCCUCACAGGUCAGGUCUGUCAGAUUUGUUUACUGUUGGGGAGAGACGGGGUCACGGUGACUGACUGCAGCUCGGCCCAAAUAACAACAGUUCCACCUUAAAGCUAACUGAUGCCAGCUCAGUUCACCAGAUGGCUGUUAGGGGGCUUUAGAUCAGUUCGUUCUUGUUUCCUCGCUUAAUCGCAGUUCACCUUUUGGAGUCUUGCUGUUUUGCACAUUUUUUUCAGUACAAGUUUGCUUAUUUUUUCGUUCUUUUUGUUUUUUUUUUCCAGUGCACUGUGUUCUGCAGCCUGAUUGGCUUUAGACCUUGUCAUUCAAUCUCCCUUGCCUGGUCUCCAGUUUGUCACAAUUACAUAAAUGUUGAACACGAUCAGAUCUUUGUUUUCAUUCUUUACUGGACUUCUUUUUUCAAGAAGGUAUGAACUUUGAGAUAAACAAGAGAGAAAAGUGUGAACAUCUUUUCCUCCUGUGUCAUCAUAGUUGCUUUGAUUGCUGUCUUUUGAGAGUGGUUGAAAACCAAACCCAGCUCAGUUUCAUCAUCAUUGACAUGUUUUGAAGGAUUUGUUGACCAAAAUACAGACAGACGCAAAGAGCUCUCAGCAUCGGUCUGGCCUUUCUCUGCUGUGAGGGAAUGCAGGUUUGUGGUCUGAGAAGCCUGUGUUCCGUUAUGAGUUUGAGAGACUGCCACAGACGUGACUUGGAAGGAAAUGGAGACCAGACCGACUUGUAAACUCUUUAAAUGGAGAGUCAAUAAAAACAUGGUUUGUAGUCCCACGUGACUGCGUGGCUCUGCAACAGCGUGUUUCCUAUUGUUGUUAAUCACCCUUGGAUUGGUCUUUCAAGGAGGAGGAAGGACUGAGGAACCACAGAAAGAAAAGAAAGAAAAAAGAACCAAAACAUCAACAGUACUUCCACUGGCAUUGUCAUGGUGCCACUGGCAGUCUCUCCUCCCCCCUACCCCUUCUGCUGAGCCUUCCAGAUUGGACCCAGCUGUCAGCACUCACCUCAUCAGCCUGCCUGCCUACUUAAGAGGUAUCUUCACCAACAUUUAUCGCCAGUUUGUUGCUCCUCUAUGGACAGUUUCCCAUGUGUGCUGAUUGGGUCUUACCUACUCACAAGCCUGUUGAAAACUUCUACGCUGACUCUCACAACUCCAAGCCACAUCAAGUCUCUGAGCUUCGCCACUACUCCAAGCCACGCCACACCUCUGAGCCACGCAACUCCUUUCUACCGCUCCACACCAGCUGUUACACCUCAGGGAGAAAACAACAUCCAGACUUACCUGCCGAUCCUCACUUGACCUUGGACAAUAAAUCAUUUAAGUCAACUCGAUCCCCUUCUAUCCUUCCGGGUUCCAGCAAUUGGGUCUUCUCAGCUCUGCUGCCCAUGACAGAACAAACUGGCCAUAUUCUAGACCCAGCUGACCCGGACGGACUUCGCCUCACGGUCGGUAUAAUUUUAUUAUUUAUGGACAUUUUCUACAUUUGUUUUUUCGGUGUAAUCUUCUAUGUUUUCUCACAGCACAGAGGUGUGUCACACAUAGGACAGCCUGAUGCUGUUUUUUUUUUGUUUUUUUGCACAGAACAAAACAAGAAUUUUGGCAGCUUUAGUCUGACUAAUGUCUUUUAAAAAGUACAUUAUUAAAAAGAUUUCUUUUGAUGAUGCUUUACUUCAUCUGAGUCAUUCUUAAAAGCUAACACACACAAAUACAUUUUAAAAACUUGGAUUUAAUAAGUCUGAAUUCUAUCACAACUUCUGUCUUCAUAAACAGUUUAGUUGUUAACAACUCUUUUCUAAGAUCCCUAAAAAACUAAAAUAAUUUUUUUUUGAGUGACUCAGACUCUUUCGCAGAGACAGUGGUGCUUAAAAAUAAGAGUUUUCACUCUGUAUCAUCAACAAACCAAUUUGCUGCCCUCUGCAAGUGGAGUCUUGUAGAAUCCAAGCAAAGCUCUUCAGAGUGAGAUGAUAAUUGAUCUCACCUGCAGCGCCUCUCUGCUGUAAUUGGAGCACUUAGUGCAAAUACUCUGCUAGGAUCUAAUCGCUUAUAAAAAACACUUGGUGCCGAUUGGGGGUCGAGGCUGGAGGAAUUAUCUUUGACUGUUUGGGUCACCUCCUGCACACACAGGCACACAUUUGACAGCUGAAGGUGACUCUGAAGAGAUAUGACAUGUUUAUGAAGAUUUAUUUUCACAUAAUGACGUCAAAGAGGGCUGGGGACCGUCACAUGGGGACCCUAACCUUGGCCCCCUGGUGGUUACAUAGUUAGGCAGUAGCACCAAGGACCCACACUGCAUUGGGCCUUGAAGGAAGAAAAUCUGCAGCAACAACAACCAGCAGCACCUGUGAGGCAUCUGGGUGAGCGCCUCCCCCCUGGCAGAAAUAUGAGCGGUAUGAGAGACGGAUGUGUGACAGGCUGACGUGUUGCUUGUCACAGAGGAAAACACGGCGGUGGCUGAAGUCGGGCUGUCGUUUGUUUGGCUGAUGGAGCCGCAGUGUGACAGGACUAAUGUGAUAUCAGACCAGAGAGCUGAGGAAGCACAUCACAGCACCCAGGGCGUUGAUGCACGGAAGAACAACCAAAUUAUGUCUGUGCAGGAGUGCCGAGCAGCAGAGCAGCACCAGGAGUUCCUACUUUAGACCAGGAGGACCGGCAUUUACAGUAGCUGCCUUUGGCCAGCAGCAUCUUUCUUCUCUUAAACAUCUUGUUGUAGGACAUUUGUCAGCCUCACAAAUCUGCGCCACCCCACCUUUCUGCAUGUGAGAAACCCUGCUGCAUCUAUUGUGGAGGGUUUAGAUCCACCAGAUGUCUUCACUAAAACUGUGAGGAAAAUAAAGACUCACUCCCAUGAAAAUUGUGCUUUUGGUGUUUUUUAUGAU